rnacentral:lncRNA from 1 species
GGAUCCCUGGGGGUCACUCAGGGUCACUCAGGGUCACUCAGUGGUCAGUGGUCACUCAGGGUCACUCAGUGGUCAGUGGUCACUGUGGUCACUCAGUGGUCAGUGGUCACUGUGGUCACUCAGUGGUCACUCAGUGGUCACUCAGUGGUCACUCAUUGGUCACUCAGUGGUCAGUGGUCACUCAGUGGUCAGUGGUCACUCAGUGGUCACUCAGUGGUCACUCAGUGGUCACUCAGUGGUCACUCAUUGGUCACUCAGUGGUCACUCAGUGGUCACUCAGUGGUCAGUGGUCACUCAGUGGUCACUCAGUGGUCACUCAUUGGUCACUCAGUGGUCAGUGGUCACUCAGUGGUCAGUGGUCACUCAGUGGUCACUCAGUGGUCACUCGGUGGUCACUCGGUGGUCAGUGGUCACUCAGUGGUCACUGUGGUCACUUGGUGGUCAGUGGUCACUUGGUGGUCACUCGGUGGUCAGUGGUCACUCAGUGGUCACUCGGUGGUCACUCGGUGGUCAGUGGUCACUCAGUGGUCACUCAGUGGUCACUCGGUGGUCACUCAGUGGUCACUCAGUGGUCACUCAGUGGUCACUCGCCCCGCAGUGACCUACCCCGAGGUCCUGCAGUGCGUCAACGUCUCUCAUGGUCACUGGGGUCACUCAGUGGUCACUCGGUGGUCAGUGGUCACUCGGUGGUCAGUGGUCACUCAGUGGUCACUCAGUGGUCACUCAGUGGUCACUCGCCCUGCAGUGACCUACCCCGAGGUCCUGCAGUGCGUCAACGUCUCUCAUGGUCACUGGGGUCACUCAUUGGUCACUCAGUGGUCACUCAGUGGUCACUCAGUGGUCAGUGGUCACUCAGUGGUCAGUGGUCACUCAGUGGUCACUCAUUGGUCACUCAGUGGUCAGUGGUCACUCAGUGGUCACUCAGUGGUCACUCAGUGGUCACUCAGUGGUCACUCUGGUCACUCGCCCCGCAGUGACCUACCCCGAGGUCCUGCAGUGCGUCAACGUCUCGCUCUUCUCG